GACGAACGCUGGCGGCGUGCUUAACACAUGCAAGUCGAACGGAAAGGCCCUGCUUUUGUGGGGUGCUCGAGUGGCGAACGGGUGAGUAACACGUGAGUAACCUGCCCUUGACUUUGGGAUAACUUCAGGAAACUGGGGCUAAUCCCGGAUAGGAGCUCCUGCUGCAUGGUGGGGGUUGGAAAGUUUCGGCGGUUGGGGAUGGACUCGCGGAUUAUCAGCUUGUUGGUGGGGUAGUGGCUUACCAAGGCUUUGACGGGUCGGCGGCCUGAGAGGGUGACCGGCCACAUUGGGACUGAGAUACGGCCCAGACUCCUACGGGAGGCAGCAGUGGGGAAUAUUGCACAAUGGGAGGAAGCCUGAUGCGGCAACGCCGCGUGCGGGAUGACGGCCUUCGGGUUGUAAACCGCUUUCGCCUGAGACGAAGCGUGAGUGACGGUAAUGGGUAAAGAAGCACCGGCUAACUACGUG
rnacentral:rRNA from 1 species